GAGAAAGCAAAUGCGAUUCCCUGAGUAGCGGCGAGCGAAACGGGAACAGCCCAAACCAAGAGGCUUGCCUCUUGGGGUUGUAGGACACUCUGUACGGAGUUACAAAAGAACGAGGUAGAUGAAGAGGUCUGGAAAGGCCCGCCAUAGGAGGUAACAGCCCUGUAGUCAAAACUUCGUUCUCUCCUGAGUGGAUCCUGAGUACGGCGGAACACGUGAAAUUCCGUCGGAAUCCGG
rnacentral:rRNA from 1 species